UACGAAGGGGGCUAGCGUUGUUCGGAUUUACUGGGCGUAAAGCGCACGUAGGCGGAUCGAUCAGUCAGGGGUGAAAUCCCAGAGCUCAACUCUGGAACUGCCUUUGAUACUGUCGAGCUGGAGUAUGGAAGAGGUGAGUGGAAUUCCGAGUGUAGAGGUGAAAUUCGUAGAUAUUCGGAGGAACACCAGUGGCGAAGGCGGCUCACUGGUCCAUUACUGACGCUGAGGUGCGAAAGCGUGGGGAGCAAACAGG
rnacentral:rRNA from 1 species